rnacentral:rRNA from 1 species
GAUGAACGCUGGCGGCGUGCCUAACACAUGCAAGUCGAGCGGCAGCGAGGGGUGCUUGCACCCUGUCGGCGAGCGGCGGACGGCUGAGUAACGCGUGGGAACGUGCCCCAAAGUGAGGAAUAACUGCCCGAAAGGGUAGCUAAUACCGCAUAUUAUCUUCGGAUCAAAGGAUUUAUCCGCGUUGGGAGCGGCUCGCGUCGGAUUAGGUAGUUGGUGAGGUAAUGGCUCACCAAGCCGACGAUCCGUAGCUGGUCUGAGAGGAUGACCAGCCAGACUGGAACUGAGACACGGUCCAGACUCCUACGGGAGGCAGCAGUGAGGAAUCUUCCACAAUGGGCGAAAGCCUGAUGGAGUAACGCCGCGUGCAGGACGAAGGCCUUCGGGUUGUAAACUGCUUUUAUAAGUGAGGAAUAUGACGGUAACUUAUGAAUAAGGAUCGGCUAACUACGUG